CUCUAUUACGUUUAGCGUGUAUGUUUACAUUGAGUAUCUGUCAUAUGUGGAGAUGUUGUUAUUGUUGUCUAGAGUGUGAAUCAUUGUAUGUAAUAUUGAAGUAUCGGUAAUAAAGUGUAUACAAAUAAUGAAUACAGUUGUUGAAUAAUCAUUACAGAGAAAGAUUCUCACAUUGGCGACGAGAACGGUGAACAGUGCAUGUGAAAUUAGUUUAAUUUCGGUUCGGGAAGUGUUGUCUUUGGAAAAAGAAAGAGAUGAGUGGUGUGUGUGUGGUGCAUGCAGAGUGGUGAUGACCUCCAGGUGAUGACUUGUGAUUGAAUUUCAACAUUGGAAUCAAAAAGGUACAACCACAAGUAACGGCCAAGUAAUUUACCAAAAUGCCGAGCAGAGAUGGAUGACCAAAUGGAUGACUGUACUUCUAAUUUUGAUGUGAUACUGAAGCGAGACGUUUAUAAACUGAGGAGACUAUAAGCGAAACAACGUGGAGUGACCUUGCUGCGGAUCUGGAGAAAAAACGAGAUGUGGUACCUUGUGGUAUGCACAUAAUAAAUUAUUGUAUUACUCUAUUACGUUUAGCGUGUAUGUUUACAUUGAGUAUCUGUCAUAUGUGGAGAUGUUGUUAUUGUUGUCUAGAGUGUGAAUCAUUGUAUGUAAUAUUGAAGUAUCGGUAAUAAAGUGUAUACAAAUAAUGAA